GUUUCUCUAGUUUAAAUAAAACUUUAGCCUUGCACGCAAACAAUGGAAAAAUUUUCCGAGUGACA
rnacentral:tRNA from 1 species